rnacentral:rRNA from 1 species
UACGUAGGGUGCAAGCGUUAAUCGGAAUUACUGGGCGUAAAGCGUGCGCAGGCGGUUCGCUAAGACAGAUGUGAAAUCCCCGGGCUUAACCUGGGAACUGCAUUUGUGACUGGCGGGCUAGAGUAUGGCAGAGGGGGGUAGAAUUCCACGUGUAGCAGUGAAAUGCGUAGAGAUGUGGAGGAAUACCGAUGGCGAAGGCAGGCCCCCUGGGCCAAUACUGACGCUCAUGCACGAAAGCGUGGGGAG